GUGUUCACUUUGGCAGCACAAAUACUAAAUUUGGAAUGUACAGAGAAGAUUAGCAUGGCCCCUGUGCAAGGAUGACACACAAAUUUCUGAAGCAUUCCAUAUUUUU